ACGAACGCUGGCGGCGUGCUUAACACAUGCAAGUCGCACGGAAAGGCCUCUUUCGGGGGGUACUCGAGUGGCGAACGGGUGAGUAACACGUGAGUAACCUGCCCUUGACUUUGGGAUAACUUCAGGAAACUGGGGCUAAUACCGGAUAGGAGCUCCUGCUGCAUGGUGGGGGUUGGAAAGUUUCGGCGGUUGGGGAUGGACUCGCGGCUUAUCAGCUUGUUGGUGGGGUAGUGGCUUACCAAGGCUUUGACGGGUAGCCGGCCUGAGAGGGUGACCGGCCACAUUGGGACUGAGAUACGGCCCAGACUCCUACGGGAGGCAGCAGUGGGGAAUAUUGCACAAUGGGUGGAAGCCUGAUGCAGCAACGCCGUGUGCGGGAUGACGGCCUUCGGGUUGUAAACCGCUUUCGCUCAUGACGAAGCUUUGUGUGACGGUAGUGGGUAAAGAAGCACCGGCUAACUACGUG
rnacentral:rRNA from 1 species